rnacentral:lncRNA from 1 species
GGGUUACGUCAUGUCCCUGUUGUAAGGCAGGGUUACGUCAUGUCCCUGCUCUAAGGCAGGGUUACGUCAUGUCCCUGUUCUAAGGCAGGGUUACGUCAUGUCCUUGUUCUAAGGCAGGGUUACGUCAUGUCCCUUUUGUAAGGCAGGGUUAUGUCAUGUCCCUGUUGUAAGGCAGGGUUACGUCAUGUCCCUGUUGUAAGGCAGGGUUACAUCAUGUCCCUGUUGUAAGGCAGGGUUACGUCAUGUCCCUGUUGUAAGGCAGGGUUACAUCAUGUCCCUGUUGUAAGGCAGGGUUACGUCAUGUCCCUGUUGUAAGGCAGUGUUACGUCAUGUCCCUGUUGUAAGACAGGGUUACGUCAUGUCCCUGUUCUAAGGCAGGGUUACGUCAUGUCCUUGUUGUAAGGCAGGGUUACGUCAUGUCCCUGUUGUAAGGCAGGGUUACGUCAUGUCCCUGUUGUAAGGCAGGGUUACGUCAUGUACCUGCUCUAAGGCAGGGCUACGUCAUGUCCCUGUUGUAAAGCAGGGUUACGUCAUGUCCCUGUUGUAAGGCAGGGUUACGUCAUGUCCCUGUUCUAAGGCAGGGUUACGUCAUGUCCUUGUUCUAAGGCAGGGUUACGUCAUGUCCCUUUUGUAAGGCAGGGUUACGUCAUGUCCCUGUUGUAAGGCAGGGUUACGUCAUGUCCCUGUUGUAAGGCAGGGUUACGUCAUGUCCCUGUUGUAAGGCAGGGUUACGUCAUGUCCCUGUUGUAAGGCAGGGUUACGUCAUGUCCCUGCUGUAAGGCAGGGUUACGUCACGUCCAUGUUCUAAGGCAGGGUUACGUCAUGUCCCUGCUGUAAGGCAGGGUUACGUCAUGUCCCUGUUGUAAGGCAGGGUUACGUCAUGUCCCUGUUGUAAGGCAGGAUUACGUCAUGUCCCUGUUGUAAGGCAGGGUUAUGUCAUGUCCAUGUUGUAAGGCAGGGUUACGUCAUUUCCCUGUUCUAAGGCAGGGUUACGUCAUGUCCCUGUUGUAAGGCAGGGUUACGUCAUUUCCCUGUUCUAAGGCAGGGUUACGUCAUGUCCCUGUUGUAAGGCAGGGUUACGUCAUGUCCCUGUUGUAAGGCAGGGUUACGUCAUGUCCCUGUUGUAAGGCAGGGUUACGUCAUGUCCCUGUUGUAAGGCAGGGUUACGUCAUGUCCCUGUUGUAAGGCAGGGUUAUGUCAUGUCCCUGUUGUAAGGCAGGGUUACGUCAUGUCCCUGUUGUAAGGCAGGGUUACUUCAUGUCCCUGCUCUAAGGCAGGGUUACGUCAUGUCCCUGUUGUAAGGCAGGGUUACGUCAUGUCCCUGUUCUAAGGCAGGGUUACGUCAUGUCCUUGUUCUAAGGCAGGGGUACGUCAUGUCCCUUUUUUAAGGCAGGGUUAUGUCAUGUCCCUGUUGUAAGGCAGGGUUACGUCAUGUCCCUGUUGUAAGGCAGAGUUACAUCAUGUCCCUGUUGUAAGGCAGGGUUACGUCAUGUCCCUGUUGUAAGGCAGGGUUACAUCAUGUCCCUGUUGUAAGGCAGGGUUACGUCAUGUCCCUGUUCUAAGGCAGGGUUACGUCAUGUCCUUGUUGUAAGGCAGGGUUACGUCAUGUCCCUGUUGUAAGGCAGGGUUACGUCAUGUCCCUGUUGUAAGGCAGGGUUACGUCAUGUCCCUGCUCUAAGGCAGGGUUACGUCAUGUCCCUGUUGUAAGGCAGGGUUACGUCAUGUCCCUUUUGUAAGGCAGGGUUACGUCAUGU